rnacentral:rRNA from 1 species
GGGCCCGCACAAGCGGUGGAGCAUGUGGUUUAAUUCGAUGAUACGCGAGGAACCUUACCAGGGCUUAAAUGGGAAAUGACAGGGGCAGAGACGCCCCCUUCUUCGGACAUUUUUCAAGGUGCUGCAUGGUUGUCGUCAGCUCGUGCCGUGAGGUGUCAGGUUAAGUCCUAUAACGAGCGCAACCCCUACCGUUAGUUGCCAGCGUGUAAUGACGGGGACUCUAACGGAACUGCCGGUGCAAACCGUGAGGAAGGUGGGGACGACGUCAAAUCAUCACGGCCCUUACGUCCUGGGCCACACACGUGCUACAAUGGUAGGUACAGAGGGAAGCCACCCCGCGAGGGGGAGCGGAUCUACAAAACCUAUCUCAGUUCGGAUUGUCGUCUGCAACUCGACGGCAUGAAGUCGGAAUCGCUAGUAAUCG